AAAUUAUAUAUAGUAUAACAUAAUAUAAGUUGAUAGAUAAUUAUAAUGACAGAAAUAUCUAAAUUUUAUAGUAUUAUGUAAAGAAAUAUAUUUAAAAUAACUAUAGAAAAGAAGUACCGUGAGGGAAAUAUUUAAUUUAAAAUAAAGUAAGAAUUAAUAUCUGUACCUUUUGCAUCAUGAUUGUUUGAGAGUAUAUUAUAAAGUAUAAUAUCCCGAAAUUAUUUGAGCUAUUAUAUAACUUAGUUCAAUGUUGCAAAAUUGUCUUUAGAUUAUAUAAUAGAAGUGAAACGUAAAUCGGAAAUAAUGAUAGCUGGUUGACCUAGAAAUAUAUGUAAGUAUAGCUUUAAUUAUAGAUUAUUUUAAUGUUUAAUUAAAAUAAUUGAUUGAUUUAAGUUCUAUAAAAGAGUAUAAGCUCUUUUAUAAAUUAAUAAUAUUUUGAAUUAGAUUGAAGUUUAAGUGGGCUUAGAAUUUGCCAUCUUAGUGAGUUUGUUAUUAAAAAGAAAUUUAAUAAAACAAAUUUUUAUUUUAUAUUUUAAUAAAUAUAGGUUUGUUUAACUUUAAAUUUAUAAGUUAAGUAAUUAUAAAUAAAUGAGUAUAUUAGUAAUUUAAAAAUAAAUAAAAUUAUCGAAGUUAAGUAAUAUUUUAUAUUUAAGUAUUGUGAUUUUUGAAGUUAAUUUAAGGAAUUCGGCAAAUAUAAAUCCCGCCUGUUUAUCAAAAACAUCGCUUUUUGUUGUAUUGAAUAUAAAAAGUAGAGCCUGCCCAGUGAAGUGAAAUUUAAACGGCCGCAGUACCCUGACUGUGCGAAGGUAGCAUAAUCAUUUGCUCUUUAAUUAGGAGCUGGAAUGAAUGGUUUGACGAGGGUUUAACUGUCUUAAAUUAAUUUAUUAAAAAUUGACUUUUAGGUGAAAAGGCCUAAAUUAAGCUAGAGGACAAGAAGACCCUAUUGAGCUUUAAUUACUUUUCAAGUUAUUAACAUAUAAAUAUAGUUUAGUUUGGAAAAUGAUUUGGAUUGGGGCGAUCAAGGAAAAUAAUAAACUUCCUUUUAUUUUACUAGAAAUAUAGUUUAGUGAUCCAAAAUUUUUGAUUAUAAGAAUAAGUUACCAUAGGGAUAACAGCGUAAUCCUUUUUGAGAGUUCUUAUCGAAAAAAGGGGUUGCGACCUCGAUGUUGGACUAAGAUGUCCUGAAGGUGUAGCAGCUUUUAAGGGUUGGUCUGUUCGACCAUUAAAAUCUUACAUGAUCUGAGUUCAGACCGGCGUGAGCCAGGUUGGUUUCUAUCCUUAGUUUUUAAUAGUGUUUUUACUAGUACGAAAGGACCGUUUAAAACUGAUUUUUAUAGAGAUCAAGUAAUAUGAUUAUAUAUAAUUUAAUAAUAAAUAAUGAGGUUAUUA
rnacentral:rRNA from 1 species